CGCACAUUUUCACGCGUAUCAGAAACCUGGUACGGAUACACACACUCUCUCUCCAGUUGGCGAAGUCGUUUGCCCCCUCGCACUCGUCCUCCGCACAUCUCGCUUAGCGCCUCUGCUUACGCGUCUUUGUGCGGCGCUGACAGCACUGCCUUAAUACGUUUUUUUUUUUCGCACCGACUGUGCUUUCCAUAGGCAUGCUGUUUGGUCAGCUUGUCUGCUACGGAUGCCAGCGCAUCCUCACUUACCCUCUCGGCGCCGUCAGCUGCCGCUGCCGAUUGUGCGAUAGGGUCAACGCGGCAGAAAACCUGCAGAUCAGAUGCAGCACAUGUGGACAGGAGCUCCAUGCGCCGAUCAACACGCUAGCACUCCUGUGCCCGUGCUGUGGUACCGUAACUGACAUCCCAGAGGAGCUACUGCCACCGCUGCCGAGCUGUGUCGACCUUGGUGGUGGCGAAGGAACGGAAAAGGUCAUCUACGUCUCACACCCGACUCUGCCGCCUCGGCCGCGCCCCAACGGCGAGGCCAACAUGAAUGCAGCUAGCUUCCACGGUUCACGGAGACCGUCGACGCAUCUCAGGGGUGAAGGGCGACGGCGCUCGGCUUCCUUCGCGCGGCGCCGCUUUUCGCGCCAGGAGCGUGAGGGUACAGCCGCACAGGGGAACAAGGAGGAGACCAUUGUCGAUGCUGACGCCGAUGGCGCGCGCGAGGCUGGAGGAGCGCACAGUGCGGAUGGAAAGCGCAGAGACACCAUUGGUCCCAUUUCGCCGGAUCAAGCUUAUGUAUCAUCAGCGGUCAGCGAGUCGUCGAGGAGGGCGCAGCGGGUGGCUCCGAGCCGCCUGGCGCCAACGGUUAUGAUUGCGACACGCAUUCUGUGAUAGAAGAUGAGGGGAAGCACUCUGGGAGUAGGUAAAUCAGUCUUUCGGCGUUCCCUUUGAGCCUUCUCUCCCAUCCACCCACCCGCGAGGUGAAGAGGGCGAUUCAAAAUCGUUUCUUGGUGAUCCCCCGCCUCUCCUUCCUUCCUCCCACCGAGUGUGGCUGCUGCUGUUGCUGAUCCCACUGCACGGAUGACAUCUUUCUCUCGCGCUGCUCUCUCUCCUUGGUGUGCACCGUCGCUUCCUUUCUUGUGCAUAUUUACUGUGUUCUGUGCGGGAGCCUAUCCUUUAGUCUUCUCUCUUCUAUUCGCGGACGGGGCCGUUGUCAAUGGUGGUCGUGGUUCGACCGUGUUUCUCAUGACGCUCACUGUGCACUGUGUACAGGUCUGUACAGCUUCUCCGCCGAUAUCGGCGCGACGCCCAGCAACAACAAAAAGGCCUUGGGCCGCCACCCCUUUUCCAUGUUGUGUUCUCGGGAUGGAAACCGACGAUUCCCACGCCCGCGCACACGCAGCUGCUCGGGUUCUGGCACAACAGGGGGGCGCCCCCUUGUGUGAGUCCCCUUUUCGCCGCUGCGUGUUUGUGGUCUCCCUGCUCACUGCUGAGAGCCCUGAGAACAAUAAACGAAAAGCGGCGGCGGGCCGGUGGGGAGGCUGUUCCACUCUUGAAAAGCCUCGCUCGCCUCGAGCCUGCGUCUCUCUGGGUGUCUUUAAUGUUGCGUUGAGGAUCCUUCACGGUGCCCUCUCACAAGAGCGGGUCGCCUCCUCUCGUCGUACCUGAAGUCACCCAUCCUACUGUCGUUUCCCCUCUCUCCUCGCUUUUCCCUCUCCCCUUCCUUCUCUUUAAUGGAAAACGUUUUUGUUUCGGGAUGUGGGAUGGGGGGCGCUCGCACUGCCUCAUCAAG
rnacentral:misc_RNA from 1 species